rnacentral:rRNA from 1 species
AUAUUCCUACGGGAGGCAGCAGUAGGGAAUCUUCCGCAAUGGACGAAAGUCUGACGGAGCAACGCCGCGUGAGUGAUGAAGGUUUUCGGAUCGUAAAACUCUGUUGUUAGGGAAGAACAAGUACAAGAGUAACUGCUUGUACCUUACGGUACCUAACCAGAAAGCCACGGCUAACUACGUGCCAGCAGCCGCGGUAAUAAU